rnacentral:sRNA from 1 species
UUUAUGUUCGAAAUCUAUAUUUAUGUAGGUCAAACGAAGAUGUCAGUAACAAUGGGAUGGAGAAGAAGGCUCUCACUACUGCUGAAUCAGUUCGGGUUGUGGAAAAGCAUCCAUGGGUUAUCACCUUUCCGAACCAUGAAGACUUGACUUUUCUCUUCGAUCCAUUGGAACGGAAGAGGUACACACUGAAUUUACCCGAGUUAGUUGGAACCGAUGUUUGUUACUCGAAAGACGGAUGGUUGCUUAUGCGAAGAUCCAGUUUAGUGGACAUGUUCUUCUUCAACCCGUAUACUAGGGAGCUUAUAAACUUGCCAAAGUGUGAGUUGGCCUUUCAAGCGAUUGCUUUCUCUUCGGCCCCUACAUCAGGUACUUGUGUGGUGUUAGCGUUAA